rnacentral:rRNA from 1 species
AUUGAACGCUGGCGGCAGGCCUAACACAUGCAAGUCGAGCGGAUGAAGGGAGCUUGCUCCUGGAUUCAGCGGCGGACGGGUGAGUAAUGCCUAGGAAUCUGCCUGGUAGUGGGGGAUAACGUCCGGAAACGGGCGCUAAUACCGCAUACGUCCUGAGGGAGAAAGUGGGGGAUCUUCGGACCUCACGCUAUCGGAUGAGCCUAGGUCGGAUUAGCUAGUUGGUGGGGUAAAGGCCCACCAAGGCGACGAUCCGUAACUGGUCUGAGAGGAUGAUCAGUCACACUGGAACUGAGACACGGUCCAGACUCCUACGGGAGGCAGCAGUGGGGAAUAUUGGACAAUGGGCGAAAGCCUGAUCCAGCCAUGCCGCGUGUGUGAAGAAGGUCUUCGGAUUGUAAAGCACUUUAAGUUGGGAGGAAGGGCAGUAAGUUAAUACCUUGCUGUUUUGACGUUACCAACAGAAUAAGCACCGGCUAACUUCGUG